rnacentral:rRNA from 1 species
AAUGAACGCUGGCGGCGUGGUUAAGACAUGCAAGUCGAACGGUUUUUCAGGUGUAGCAAUACAUUUGAAAAGCAGUGGCGAACGGGUGCGUAACACGUGAACAAUCUACCUUUUAGUGUGGAAUAGCUCGGCGAAAGCCGGAUUAAUACCGCAUGUGGUUGGUUCUCGCAUGAGAGCCAUACUAAAGUCAGGGACCGCAAGGCCUGACGCUAUUAGAGGAGUUCGCGGCCUAUCAGCUAGUUGGCGAGGU